UCGAGAAUUUUUCUCAAUGGGCGAAAGCCUGAAGGAGCGACGCCGCGUGGGGGAUGAAUGGCUUCGGCCCGUAAACCCCUGUCAUUUGCGAACAAAUUGAUUCACUUAACACGUGUAUCAUUGAUUGUAGCGGAAGAGGAAGGGACGGCUAACUCUGUGCCAGCAGCCGCGGUAAUACAGAGGUCCCAAGCGUUGUUCGGAUUCACUGGGCGUAAAGGGUGCGUAGGCGGUCGGGUAAGUCUGAUGUGAAAUCUCCCAGCUUAACUGCGAAACUGCAUUGGAUACUAUCCGGCUAGAGGAAUGGAGGGGAGACUGGAAUACUUGGUGUAGCAGUGAAAUGCGUAGAUAUCAAGUGGAACACCAGUGGCGAAGGCGAGUCUCUGGACAUUUCCUGACGCUGAGGCACGAAAGCCAGGGGAGCAAACGGGAUUAGAUACCCGCGUAGUCC
rnacentral:rRNA from 1 species